CUACGGGGCGCUGCAGUGAGGAAUAUUGCACAAUGGGGGGAACCCUGAUGCAGCAACGCCGCGUGGAGGAUGACGCAUUUCGGUGUGUAAACUCCUUUUAUAUGUCAAGAAAAUGACGGUAGCAUAUGAAUAAGCACCGGCUAACUCCGUGCCAGCAGCAGCGGUAAUACGGAGGGUGCAAGCGUUACUCGGAAUCACUGGGCGUAAAGGACGCGUAGGCGGGGUGGAAAGUCAGGUGUGAAAUCCUACAGCUUAACUGUAGAACUGCACUUGAAACUUCUAAUCUAGAGUAUGGGAGGGGGAGAUGGAAUUAGUGGUGUAGGGGUAAAAUCCGUAGAUAUCACUAGGAAUACCUAAAGCGAAGGCGAUCUCCUGGAACAUUACUGACGCUAAGGCGUGAAAGCGUGGGGAGCAAACAGGAUUAGAUACCCGAGUAGUC
rnacentral:rRNA from 1 species